UUCAGAUGAAGAGGAGGAAGAGAAGAUCAUUCCAACCACCAAGAAAAAUGGGCUGAUAUAUAUAUCGUUGAUGCUAUGAUGGCUGGGAAGGACGUGGGUGGCAGGUAACAAGAUGAUGGUCCCAGUUAAGGUUUCUCCGGCUGUUGCCUCCUAGGCUGUGUGGGGUGGCGGAGGCCAAGGAGACCUGCUGCAAGUGGCAAAUGGUCUCCUACAGUAGCAGGCUGUUGGCGCAAAGGCUGAUGCAGUUUAUGGGCGGAUGGGGGUACACAUCGGUGAGUGGGCAGGUGGAGCGGCCUACUUGUGAUUAGUGCGGCCGCUCCCUUUGGAUGCACAGUUUUUAACCGCUAUCAUAGGUAAAGAAGGGAAGAAAUUAAGACUGGAAGUUUACUGGUUUUGGAUUCUUACUUUGGAACUCAAGGUGGCUGGGAUGG